rnacentral:rRNA from 1 species
GUGGAUUAGAUACCCUAGUAGUCCUGGCCGUAAACGAUGGAUACUAGGUGUUGCGGGUAUCGACCCCUGCAGUGCCGUAGCUAACGCGAUAAGUAUCCCGCCUGGGGAGUACGCACGCAAGUGUGAAACUCAAAGGAAUUGACGGGGACCCGCACAAGCGGUGGAACAUGUGGUUUAAUUCGAAGCAACGCGAAAAACCUUACCAGGGCUUGACAUCUAACAAACCUCUGUGAAAGCAGAGGGUGCUCUUCGGAGAAUGUUAAGACAGGUGGUGCACGGUCGUCGUCAGCU